GGUAGCAGGGAAAGAGGGUAAACAAGCGAAGGGAGGUGGGAGUAGCGGUGCCGGGGCUUCAGCGACGCAGGGACUCGGACUGGAGCGGCGUGGUCGAAUGGAUCUGGUUGUGUCGGGUUCAUCCAUGGCGGCUGGGACAUGCUGCUCGAACAGAGAGAAAGAGGGGUGAGAGAGAGAAAGAACGCGAGAGAAGGGAGAGGGAAACAGCGGCAGGGCUCGCCGGAGCACAUGGGGGAGCGGCGGAGGCUGUCUUCAUUGGCGGCGAGCUUGAUGGCCGAAGCUGCAGCACGGGCGGCGAGUGGCAAAUGGUGGGGAUCGGGGAACUUGUCCUGUGGUGACGGCGCUGAGGGAGGACGAGGAGGAGAUUGGGAGGAUCGACCGAGUGGGGCUGAUGCGGUGCGGCUGGCUAGGGUGCUAGGGCGAGCUGGGCCUUGGGCCGGCUAGCUGCCUGCUGCUGAGCUUUUGCAACGCAGGGAAGCUGGGCCUGCUCUAUUCUCGCGUGCGUCGCUGAUGGAAACAAUCGAUCCUGUCUCUCAAAAAAGUAAACAAUUGAUCUUUUUUUAAAGGAAAUAUCUAAUCAAUUAUCAUUACGCGAGGAGCACAUGUGGAGGAAGGUGAGGCGUGUGUGUGCGUGCCCUCAACGAAAAGAGCAUGAAUCUACUGCUGCCUGAUCUGCUAGCUCACACGUGCUUCUACGGCUAGACAUACAUGUCCUGCUACUGCUAAUCAACCUCAUUCUGUUCGACAAGCUUUGUACAUGUCUUACUUAUGGCGAAAAUCGAUUUAGUGCCUUCGUCGACGGUCGAGGUUCGUCAGCGUCUACAGUGAUCCAUGG
rnacentral:lncRNA from 1 species